UAAUACAGAGGGUGCAAGCGUUAAUCGGAUUUACUGGGCGUAAAGCGUGCGUAGGUGGUUCAGUAUGUCGGUCGUGAAAUCCCCGGGCUUAACCUGGGAACUGCGGCCGAAACUGCUGGGCUAGAGUGUGGUAGAGGGCGGUGGAAUUCCGGGUGUAGCGGUGAAAUGCGUAGAUAUCCGGAGGAACAUCGAUGGCGAAGGCAGCCGCCUGGGCCACAACUGACACUGAGGUACGAAAGCGUGGGGAGCAAACAGGAUUAGAUACCCUGGUAGUCCACGCCUUAAACGAUGAGAACUAGACGUCGGUCAGCUUGGCUGAUCGGUGUCGUAGCUAACGCGAUAAGUUCUCCGCCUGGGGAGUACGGCCGCAAGGUUG
rnacentral:rRNA from 1 species